AUUGAACGCUGGCGGCAGGCCUAACACAUGCAAGUCGAACGAGUGGCGGACGGGUGAGUAAUGUCUGGGAAACUGCCCGAUGGAGGGGGAUAACUACUGGAAACGGUAGCUAAUACCGCAUACCAUCGGAUGUGCCCAGUUGGGAUUGGCUAGGAGGUGGGGUAACGGCUCACCUAGGCGACGAUCCCUAGCUGUUCUGAGAGGAUGACCAGCCGGACUGGAACGAAGAAACGGUCAAGACUCCUACGAGAGGCAGGAGGGGUGAAUAGGGCACAAUGGGAGCAAGCCUGAUGCAGCCAUGCCGCGUAUAUGAAGAAGGCCUUCGGGUUGUAAAGUACUUACAGCGAGGGGGCGUUACUCGCAGAAGAAGCACCGGCUAACUCCGUGCCAGCAGCCGCGGUAAUAC
rnacentral:rRNA from 1 species